AAUAGCAGCAGGAGGACUGGGCUCUUUAGCCGUGAGCUGAGGAAAAAGCACUGGGGUAAGAAGACCUUCUAAGGUGGACAGCAGCAGGAGACUUUGACUCUUGAGACAUGAACCUGAGGAAAAGCUGGAGGUCACAAUCCUACAGUGGGGAUAUUCACUCAGAACACCAGCAGAAGCAGACUUUGGAUGAGAGCUCAGGAAAAGGGUG